ACGAAGCCGAUUUCUUCGGGUCGAAACAGGCGGUAAAAAACGAACAAAAGGAAAAGGGCGCAAAAAGAAACCCAGUUCUAGGGUUUUGUUUUUGUUUGAUUUUCAAGCCAAUCGAAUUGAUGAGAUGACAAUUCCCUAACUCCCAAUUACCCGAGUUCCUAUACCCUCCUACUUGUCCACUCUCCAUCAGAUUUCUCCUCUACGGGAAGAUUAUGUCUGGAAGAAAUCGAGGACCACCCACCAUCCCACUAAAUGGUGUGCCUCACGGUGGACUACCACCUGUUCGCGAUCCUCAUUUUGGCAGAGGCCUUGGGCCAGUGCCACAUCCAGCGCUUCUUGAGGAAAUCAGAGAAUCACAGUAUGGGAUGCAUCCAGGAUCCCUUCCUCCACACCCUGCAAUGAUAGAGGAGCGUCUUGCUGCACAACAUCAAGAUAUUCAAGCUCUUCUUCUCGACAACCAGAGGCUAGCUGCUACCCAUGUUGCCCUUAAGCAGGAACUAGAAGCAGCCCAGCACGAGUUGCAACGCAUGGCUCAUGUUGCUGAUUCCUUACAUGCAGAAAGGGACAUUCAGAUGAGAGAAUUAUAUGAAAAAUCAGUAAGACUAGAAGUUGAUCUGCGAGGAGUUGAGACUAUGCGAGCAGAGCUUCUUCAAGUUCAUUCUGAUGUCAAGGAAUUAACUGUUGCAAGGCAGGAACUCACUGGUCAAGUACAAGCAAUGUCACAAGAUCUAACUAGAAUGACUGCAGAUUUGCAGCAGGUCCCCGCUUUGAAGGCAGAAAUUGAAACUGUGAAGCAGGAAUUACAUCGUGCUAGAGUUGCAAUUGAGUAUGAAAAGAAGGGAUAUGCGGAGAAUUAUGAACACGGUCAGGUUAUGGAGAAGAAACUGGUUUCAAUGGCUCGGGAGUUGGAGAAACUUAGAGCUGAGGUUUCUAAUGCAGAGAAGAGAGCUCAUGCUUCUGCUGCUGCUGUUGGAAAUGCUGCUGCUGGGUACGGUACAAAUUAUGGCAAUGCUGAUGCUGGAUAUGCGGGAAAUCCAUAUUCUUCGAGUUAUGGCUUGAACUCCGUGCAGUCUGGUACCGAUGGUUAUCCUCCAUAUGGACCUGGAUCUGUUCCCUGGGGUGCAUAUGACAUGCAACGGGCUCAAGGACAUAGAUAGACUGAUGAAUUAUGUCCUGCUAAGAUGUUUCUUGUGGAGGGCUUGAGGUUCAAAUCACAAAGCAUUGAUAAUUAGGUUUGUGGGCCUUCCGUGAUCGGCUUAAUUUAUGGCUAUGAACCGAUUUCAGAUUGUACUAAGGUCGUAUGAAAAUGGCAGUCGGAGCUGAACUCCAAAAUCCUCCAUCUGAAGUCAGUUUAGCUCGUGGCUUGAACAAUCAACAAUUUGUUCCAUCUUAGGAAGCUAUCAAAUACUCUUCCUGGCAUAAGUCUUUACCAACUAGCAGUACAUCAUUCAGUGUGUUAGUUGGCUGGCUUUGCACCCUGUGCUCUGGCAUGGAUCGUGUUGCUGUUCGACAAAACUGGUUCCACCGAGUUUAAUUCAACCAAACACCCCCUGCAGUGAAAUGGGUAGGCUUGAAGUUGGCUGAAUAACAGCAGAGCCUGCCUGCACUUUUUAUAUAUAUAUCAUCUCUCUUUUGUAGCCGCCAUGUAUUUGAUCCUUUUGAUUCCUGUAGAUUUCAAGCAUUCGAAGAGCUCAAUGGGUCAUUUCCAAUUGGUGCCAGUUCUUGGUACGGUGUUUGCAAUCACUCUUGUCUUUUUUUUUU